GCCUUCGUGGUGUAGCGGUCAGCACGCUCGACGCGUAACCGAGAGUUCGUGGUUCGAUUCCCGGCAAAGGCA
rnacentral:tRNA from 1 species